UGUAGCUCAGUGGUAGAGCGCUUGCCUAGCAUGCAUGAGGCCCUUGGUUUGAUCCCUUGCA
rnacentral:tRNA from 1 species